CCCACUGAGAUAAAAGUAUGAUGCUUCGUUUUUAAAGUUCCCACUGUUUAGGUACGAAAUUGUUUAUCAGGCAGUUUGUUUGUUUGCUCACUAAUGUGCACGUUCUUAGCUACUCUACAGACAGGAACUCUAUUCCUCCUAAAUUCAACUCUAAAGCCUCUGGGGAAGCUGCGCAUGGUUCUGCUCCCUACCACCUGUCCUCACUCUCCUUGAACAAGCCAGCAAGAAAGAAAAAUUUCUCCAGUAUUGGCUUAUGGUACUGCCCAGCAGCCUUAAAUACAGCAUGUUUAUUGAAUGGCACUCCAUCAACAGCUCAACAUGCACUGCCAUGUCAGAACCUACCAUAGGCAGUGAGAAUGUCUCCCCAUCUCUUUUCCUACAGCCCCACUUUCUGCUUCCUUUUUCUGGGGAAUGUCUGCUUUUUUAAUAUUCUACCCUUACAUCAACUAAAUAUUUCAAUCUCUGGGGUAAGUGACUCAAUUUGUCAUGAUACUGAGCACAUGUGUAUCUCACUGACAUACAUGCACACCUAACUUUUAAAAAUCAGUCAGUGCUUUUGGCAAUAGUGCGCCAUAUUACUUUUAAAAUGUUGCAAUACAAACCAAAUUGCCAUUCGCUAGAUGAGAUUAGAUUUUCUAAGUACUUUUAAAAUACGACACAGAGAAAUUAAAUUAGAAACCAUAGGCAUAAACUGUGUUUUUAAAAUAAAUAAUGAUACUACUUGAGCUUCUAACAAGGCAACAAUUCUAAACCUAUUGCAUCCUUAGACAUAUCUCUUAUUCUGUGCAAAAAAAGAAAACACAAGUAGGAAUACUGCAGGAACACCAGACCUCUGGCCACAAAAUCAGAAGGCCACAAGGACAGGAGGAAGAAGUGGCCUUCAGGAAACAUAUUAUUGCUCACUUUGUCUCUUCUUGCCAAAGCCAGGGCUUUCUCUCUCCUAAGGAAGGUUAAUACCUUGAAAGAGGCAUUUUUCUUUGACGUUGUAGAAUAGUGGACAUAUGCAAAUACAAUACAGAUUCAGAGGUUUUGUUCCUUCUCCCCCUUCUCCUUUUAUUGUUCUGAAAGAACAAACCUUACAGUUGAAAUGACAUUGACAGGAAUAUUCAGAGUAAAAAGGCAGCAGUGCUCCAGUGGGUUCCUAUCAUAUAAUUACGCAAGGCUUCCUGAUUUCUGCAGUUUCACAGUUGCACUGAACCUGUCAUUUAGGGAGGAAGCUGCAGAUGCUUUUCUUUCACAUACAAAAACCCUGUUGUUUCCUUGUGAUCAUCUCUUGCUUACUUUUCCAUCUCUUUCUCUCUCUGUAGAAGCUGUUUCCAGCAGGCUUGUUACUGCAGAGACUGAUCAGAUUCUCAGAGACAAAAAAUCCACGGGACAAAACCAAUAUAAGACUUUUUUUUUUCAGCUAAGUGUCAGAGAAAUGUAAAUAAGUAGAUUCCGUCAAUAUGUAGGGUCACGUGAAAGCUCAUUAGGUUGGGAAGAUUUAAGGGGACAAGGCCGAGACAGUAAAGGUAAAAAUAAGGUUCAAUGUGAUUCGUAUGGUAUGGUUGCUCAGCAAUCUGUUAUCACAUGCAUUUGUGAAGAAUGAGGUCAGAGGUUUAACAGCAAUAUCAACUGUUUUGCUGAUGAUCCCAAGCACAGGGAGUCACUUGUACUUACAUCUGGCUUACAAGAUUGCUGUCAGAAUCAUUAGUUCUCUUACAUGGAAAGCCCUGAACCCCACAGAAUUUAAUACCGUAUAUCCUAAAGAUACUAACAAGUUGGGAAGGGGUAUCUGGCAAGCUGUCAGACCCAACUGGCCAUUCCACCUCCUACUGUGUUUUGAUUUUCCUUGAUGAUUACACAAACGAUCAGUAAAACAAAAUGGAUUCAAUCCUUUAGUAACUCCUGUUGCUUUUGGGUGCACGGUGUUAUUACUACAGUCUCUUACACAGGCAUUUUUACAGAAUAGAAAUAGAACCUGAUUCACAUAAAUGAAUACUUUAAUAUUUUGUUUCAUUUCACUGUACCCUUAUUUGUGAGAGCUUUAUUAUGGCUCUUAUUUUCAACUACUAAUUUAUUUCAUACAGAAGUACUGUUCCUUUAUCUCAUUAAAAAGUUGGUAGUUCAUCAUCCUUGUUUUGGGUCAGGGCCUCAGGAAUGCUGGAUAAGCUACAGAUAGUUUUACAAGGUGGCCAGUAGUGUGCCUGGCAACACAGCUUCUGUGUCCAAGAACCAACUUGCUGAUUUUGCUCUGAGUCCAAAGUAUCUUUAUCCAAACCACAGAAAAAGUCAAAGUACACCAAAGAGAUGCAUUUUCAGACUAAAAACAAACAAAUAAAUAAAUGUUUCAGAAAAGUAUUUAGACUGAUAAAUGGUCUGAACAGUUCACUUUUCUCUAUUUUGUGACCUUUUCCCAGUAUAGUGAUUUUUAAAAAAAAUAACAAAUGUAUCAUUAACAUUUCCUGUAUCUUUUGACUACACUGUUGUGAUUUCAGGUACUAACACAUUAUAGUUGCAAGUUAUCCUAUUCACUCUGAAUUCCUGUUGUACUGCACCAGGAUAAUCAAGAACUGCAGACUGUUCUGCAGAUAUUGUUCAGUCCACAAUGUCAGAGAAGGUGCUCAAGGCAAGAGAUGCACAUUUCAGAGAGUAGACAAAUAGACAUGGAUGCUGAAGCAGGUGUGCUAGAUAUGUUUGCAUGUGUCUCCAGUCACCCAGGAUCAGUAAUAACCUGUGGCAGAAAAAAGGCACAGGAAUGGCUGAGCAAAGGUAAGGAGUGCCUCAAGAAGUUAAACUGGCCAGAGCUCUUCCGUGUUGUAAAGAAAAUGACUGAGUAAAAAUGAUUGAGAUAUAUGGAAUCAUGAACAGUACUAUCUUGAUAAAAGGAAAGCUGCUAUUUACUAUUACUCCUAACACAGCUGCUAGAAUACCAAAAUGAAAUCACUAAGCAAUAAGCUUGAAGGAGAAAGUAUAUUUUCACACUACAUGUAAUUAAACUGUGGAACUGUUAUGAAGCUGGAACUGUAAACAGAUUCAUUUAAUUUAUUCAAUGAGAAUUUUUUUUCAUGAAGAAACUGAAAUCCAUGCAUGACCAUUAAUAGUGAAAUAUGCAUAGGAAUUCUGAAUUAGGAAGUUCCCAGUCCUCAGAUUACUAGAAAUUGGGAGCAUGCCACUUGUCCCAUCCCAUCCCUGCCCUGUGUUUCUCCUGACAUACACUACUGUGCACUGUCAGAAAUAGCUGCCUCAACUCAUGGUAUGAUGCACCAGGCUACAGAGAGCUGUAUGGCAUCGUGCCUCAGUGCUCCAGUUCACCAAGAAAAGAUCUCCCCAGCUGUGCUUGGAUUUUGCUGGCCAUCUGUUUCCACCUGACAACCUGGGAAUGACUUUUACCACAGUGAGAAAGGUAAUUCCUGUGUUAUCAGCUGCAUUUUUGAUGCUGAACAGAUCCUGAGGCUGACCCCAGCCCUAAACCAGAUUAGUACUUAAUUCCAUGAAUCCGGACUUCCUAAUCCAGGAGUAGUUUGUUGUUGUUAAAUUUAAAACAGAAAUCCUGCUUCUUUGUCUCUGUUCUACCAUGUACAGAGAUGGGUUAAAGUUUUUUUUUCCAACCAAUUUUACUAGUACUAAGGAAAUACUGAUGGAUCAUUACUUUCAGGGCUUGUGCUGUAACCUGCUUUUAACUUAGGUACGUUUGCUCUACUUUUCUAGCAUAGUGGCUAAUUUUAAUGAGAUUGCCUAUUUUUGACAACAGUUCAGCUGCUUCAUUCUUAAACACUUUCUGAAUCUUAGAUAUAUACCAUCUGGUCUUAAAGACUUGUUACUCUUUCACUUAUCCAUUUCCUUCAGCGUCUGUUCUUCUGACGCCUCAAUUUCUCAAAGAGCUUCAUUUUUAUUACCUGAAAGUACUGAUACAGUAUGGCUCAUUGCCACCUGUGCAGCGAGUUACCUAAUGAUUUUUGAUAAUUAUCAGGUCAGCCUAUAUAAGCUAACAACUACUUAGUUAGUAUUCAAAACCAGGAUAGAAACCUAAACAAAUCAGCACCAGCCAGUAAUUGUUCACUUGCAAUCUCUUGCAAAUUCAGAAUUUUGAAGCAAUUCUACACGAAAAAGGCUGUUUUUGUUUUUGUUUUUGACCUCUGAAUUCCCUCAUGCCCUCAUGCCCUCAUGCCAAGGUGUAAGAAACAUAUACCUUUGCAUGUAAGUGGAACUAAAAGGGUCAAACCUUUUAGUUAAUACAAUAUUAUUACAAACAUAUUUACAUUGACCUGUAGCUGCUGUAACUGGUUUCUCUAUGCCAGUGAUCUUUUCCUUCUUACUUAAGUCCUGACUUGCAAAAGGCAAGAUACCACAGCAGACUCUUCAGAAGACUUUAAAGGAUGCUGGAAGAUUUUUGUCCCUUCCCAAAGAAAAUGUGAUGCAGAUUUAGAUAUCUUUGUACUUCAUAAUGAAACACUGAAGAUCUGGAGAAACUGUAUUACAACAGUUUGUGUGGUGUUUGAAAACACAAAAGCCCUUAAAAAUUGUGUUUAAAACAUUUCCUAGAAGAAAAUGAAAUAGAUCUUUUUACAAAUAUUUCCUUUGAGUAUCAGCUAAUGUUAGAAAAAAUACUUAUUUCAAUUAAUGAAGACACACAGUUGUAAGUUUAUGAAAAGAUAUUUUCUGGUACCCUACUAGUAGGAAUAGAAUAAAAAAAAAUGAUAUACAAGAUGGCUACCAAUUUCUUAAAAAACACAUUUAUUUGACCUGCACAUUUUCUUUUCAUAUUGUUUAUUAUUCCAGGUGCCUGAUCUUCCACAUGAAGAGCGUGAACGUAAAAUACCAUUAGAACCUUUGUUAAACAAAGGCUUUUUAAUUUUUCACCAGACAGAAAUGCACAUCAUCAUCUACAAGCAAACCUGAAUCCCUUCAGUGGAUUGACUAUAACCUUCUCUGACUGCACCUACUCUAAAAGCUUUGAUCCUAAUGUUGACUCAAGUCAACUGAGUAUAAAUGGCAAAUGUUAAGCAAGAGGAAAACACUUUCUGGAAAAUGUUUUUCAGUUUUCCUUCAAAUUAUUUCCCUGAUGCAUUAAAACAAACACUGAUUUUUUUAUUUGUAUAAUUUAAUGGGGCUCCCAAUUUUCUAUACUUUUCCAAGUUCUGUACACACUAGGGAUUGUUAAACAGCUAUUAAAAGUAACACAGAUAACACUGAAGUUAGGUGAAUGGAUAUUCACAUGAGGCUUCAGUGCAGGAUUUAGAUCAUAAGUAUUCAUCUCUCAUCUAUACAAUGAAGUAAAUCUACUGUUAGUUUUUUAAUAAAUUAUUUGUUCCCCUUUUAAAAAUACUGGACCCAUCAUCUUCUCCUCCAUUUUUUUUUAAAAAACAGAACCUGGGCAUUAAAUAAAUAAAUGAAAAUUGGACAAUAUAAGCCUGAGGAUACAAUGUUCCAGUACUGAAGAAGCCAAGAAAAACUCUUAUUGACUUCAACAAGCUCUAGAUCUGACCUUUGGCCUAUGCUAUGCAAUACUUUUGCAUGUGAUUACUGGAUACAGAGGGUACUAGCCUACAAAUACUCACCAUCCUAGAAGAAAGUCUGGAUCCUGAGCAUUUUUCUAAAAAACAAUGCUAUAUCGGGGGAUCAGCUGACACAACAAAUAGCAAUCCAGAGGCACCUUCAGAAACUUGGGGAUGGGAUGGCCAGAAGUCUUCUUCAGCAAGUGUAAGGACCAAGAUUUGUAGUUAAGACUGAACAAUCCCACACACUGGGAAAGACUGGGAGCUGACUGGCUGAGGACCAGCCCUGCUGAAAACACCCAGGGGAUUACAGUGGAGGCCAAUUAAAACAUGAGCCAGCGGCAUGUUCUCAAUGCAAAUAAAUCAAGCAGCAUUAUGGCUAUAUUAGGAGUGUGGCCAGCAGAUCAAGUCUCUGCUUGAUGCCUGGUAAGAACUUGCACAUCCCCAAAUUCUUAACCUGGCUCUGGAUGUCCCAGGUUGACACUGAGAAACUGGAGAAAGUGUAGGACAGGGCUCCGAAGAUGAGCCUGUCCCCAGAGCAUGUGAUGUGCAAAAGUGAGGUUGGGGGAUGAGGUCUUCCUCACUCUGCCGAAGAGAAGGAUGAAAAGUGACUGAAUAGUGGCCCUGCAGCUACCUAAAGUGAAGACACAAAGACUGUGGAGGCUUCAAGAUGUAACUACAUAAAAUCACAGUUGACCCGGUUAUAGCACUGGCCUUCUUCAAAAUCCUUACAACCUUUAUUCAAAAUCCUUCCAAAUGACAGUUUUGUUUUCCUUCUACAAGACUGUGAAUCUGCUCAAAUUUCAGCUCCAACACUUCCACUGUUUCUACUACAGGCUUCCUAACAGAGCAUCCAAGUAGGACAUCCUUAUUAUAGGUAAGUCUGUUUUGCUGUGUGACAGAACUGUUAACUGCUUCAUCUUGCUAUAAAUUAGCAGAGUGCAGACUGGAAAAAUCUUGAUCUGACUAUUCCUGCUGUCUAACUCUUAGGUAACAGAUCUUUUCCUCUUCUUUUUAAACAGACAAGCACCUUUUUUUUCCACAGUGUUGGCCUCAGUCAUGGAUAAGAGAGUAUAUGUAUGUAUAAAAUAAACAUACAUUUUAUACGUAUGUAUGUAUAAAAUUAUUUCCUUUCUCUUAACAGCAUAUUGUUAUGCGUCAUUAUGAAAUUUUUGUCUUGCAUUUACUCAGCAGCAUAUGUAUAUUUUGUGCUGCCUCAGUUCCUACAUAUGAGGAGACUGACAGUACAACUAUAAAAUAUUACGGAGGUAGGUCCUACCAUUGGAAAAAAUACAACAUGUAGAUUAUGAGUGUAUAAUAAAUGACCUUGAUUAAGUCCUUCAUAUUAUUCCAGAAGGAUCUGAGCACAGCAUUGAUGAAUGGACCAGGUAGACUUCUUUUAAUUGUCCUCUUUGUUUGUAAAUACAGAAAAAAAUAGACAGAAUGAGUCUUAUUUAUUUUAGCAAGAUUUGAAUUCUUGGAAAAAAAGCAAUAUAUAUAUAUAUUUCUAUAACUUAAAAUGUGAAAAACAAUUUAGAAUGUGGCUGUUUAAAAAAAAAAUAGCAAAAUCUGUGAGGAGUUAUACAUGAGUAUACAUGACACAAAUACACAAAGGGAACUUGCCUACUACAGUGGCAAUUCUGUGAACUGUUUACUAGUAGAACUACAAAAAUGUAUUAACGCUAUUGAAAUUUUGCAGCAUGUUAAUUGUUAGGAGUUGAUGUGAAUAUAAUGAAAUAAUUAUGAAAAUGCCCAUAAGCCUUAAUUCUUGAGGUAACUAAAGAGUUGUGGAUGCACGCAGGCCUUCAGGCCUGACAAUUAUGCUAUUAAUUCUAACAAUCAUUAUGGCAUUUGCACAUUGAUACCUCUCUUAAUGAUACAUUGCCACACUGAAAAAUACAUUUUGGGAGCAAACUUUGUCAUAAGUAUUGAAUCAAUAUCUCUUUUGAACACUAUAUAUUUUAUUUCUUAGGCUAUUUGUUUGCCUUCGUACUUCAGAGUUCAUGAUAGAACUCAACUAAGCAGUUGUCGCUUAUUUCCUGUGUCCCUAUGUGGGUCAAAAGCAGCCUUCUACAAUCCGUUCACUUGUAAGUCUUGCAUGAGAAUCUGUUUUAAUGAAUUAGUGUUUAUAAAUCCCUCUGAAGAGGAAUCUUUUAAUGCUAGAGCCCAGGACUGUUAAUUUCACCCAUGGCCAGUGCAUCUACCUUUUCCCUCAGAUGAAUGGGAGGUCAGAUUUCUUCAGACCUGUGUCUGAUCCCAUGAUGCACUGAAGUGACUGCAGCCUUCUGAGAAUGCAACUCCUAAUUCUCUGGUGCCACAAAUUCUUCAGCACAGUGAACAUCUGCAGCUUUUUUUGGCUUCCACAGUUGUGAGUCAUGGCAGCCCCCAAAACUCUAUGCAGACCUUUAACCAUUAAUUCUACUAAACCAGAACAAGAAUCUAAAAACAAGAUUUCUUUAAGGCAUCUCAGAUAUGAAGGCACUAUGGACAUCAUUUUAUUACCCAUCGCUUUAUUGCCCAUUAUCCUAUGGUUGUUUAUGCUCAAGUAGGACACAAAAGCUACAUUUUAGGCCCAGUUACCAUUUAAAUCAAAUUUGCAGCAACUUUAUGCAUAAUACAGGGUAAUGGAACUGAGGCCAUAAUCUGACUACACAGAGGCUUCAGCGGCAAAGCUUGUUUCAACGGAUUACUUUUUCUAAAUGCUCUGCAACCAGGUCAGUUAAAGCACUGCAAGGCAAUACCAUUUAAAUCUACAACAUGCACUUAAAAAUGUUAUUUGAUAGUUUGCUGUAUUACGUUUAAAGAUGCCAUGUCUCAGCACAGGAAAAAAAAAAAAAAGCUUUAUUUUCAUUAAAUUAAUGCAAUUUUAGAAGUUCUGCAUUGAACAUGCAGACCUUUCACAUCAGAGCAACCAGACUUCUUUGCCUGAUGGCUUUACAUUACCCGUAGGUUCUAUUAGAUGAAGCAGCAGAAACAUCUCUAAUGUAAAGAUUCAAAUGAUAUGCUGACUUUGGGGACAAAUUAGUUCCAUAGGUACAGAGUGGAAUAAUACUAAACUGACAUAAACAAGCAGAAUUUGCCUUCUAUACUUGGACUUGCAUCCUUAAGAUAUUAAAAAUGAACACUGAAGUUCAACACAUGCUUUGUGAUCAAAGAGUAAGAGUGGUGCAAGAGUGGUACAAAAGUGGUACUGUUAUAUGAAUACAAUAAUCACCUAUUCUGAAUGUUCUCUGCAAGUCCAACCACCAAAUGUUUAAACAAAAAUUGCUGCUGUAUUUUCAUUCUGAACUGUUGGCCAAAAUCAGAAGGGGCCUCUUUUGACACAGUGGCUGCUUUUGCAAGAAGGAGUCUGGGGAGAAAUAAUGAGGAAAUAUCAGGAAGGAGCUUGCAAGAUUUCCCAAAUUUUCAAUUUUGAUAUCUGAUAUUUGAUCUAAAAGUUAAACCUCUGCAACCCCAAAUGCAGUCCAAAAUUAAUCUGCAUCCAGGCUCCUCAGCGUAUUUCUGAUUGUAAGAAAUGUAUUUCCGAUAACAGUGAAAAUAAUAAUAAUAAUAGUCUCAUCCACUUAUUUUUAAGAUACAAAAAGUGUCCAACAGAAAAGGCCGUUUCUCAAACAACCUGCCAAACUUCAGUCAUUUUGUAAAAUGUGCCUAUUAAUCAGCUUUCAGAAAAAGUUCUCUGUGUACAGCCAAAGUUCUGUUUUGUUGAUGACCAUUUAUGAUUUUAGAAAAGCAAGCAGUUUAAAAGUUGCUGAAGUGUGCUGGCUUCUGACUGACACCUUGUUUGUUGUGAUGCCUGAGUGCAGUGAACUGUUCAGAAUCUGAGUAUGCUAAAAGUAAUCCAGAAGCUCACAUCUGUUGCUUUUUAUCACAAGAGCUCUCUAGUAUCAGAAAGACAACCUCAUAAACGUUUUGAAAAAGAAAACUACAACAAAAAGCAAAACAAAACAGGCCUCCCUUGCUAACAUAAAGUGCUUUAUUAUCUAGGGCAUUUUUUCCCCCAGUCAUCUGUUUUGAACUGGGUACAGGCACAGAACUCAAAUUUUACAUUCAUAGAAGAACUCUUUCAGAGACUGUACAAGAAAUCUGAAAUUCUACCUUAUUCUUAACAGUCAGAAACAGAAACUGAGAUGCCUUCACUCCCCUUGUAAAAGGAGAAGUUAUAGCCUUCAUAAAGAUAAACAAGCACUUCAGAUCAUUUCUGGGAUGAUGAUGCAUUCUGAAGAAGUGCAUUGAAUUGUUUUUUGUUCCUCCUACAGCAUUCUUGCCUGUGAAACAGUCUCAAAGAAUCCUUCGCUAAACCCCAUCCUCCACCUGAAAAUUCGUGUUUGCGGAAUGACUGCUGCCUGAAAACAGAAAAACCUGCCUGGCCACAAGGAGUUCAUGACAGAGCAUGCAGGCUGUGGUUUUGGAGGUUAAAAGAUGAAAACUGACCAGAGAAAGGGGCUAUUCAUCAGGAAAUGGAGGCAUGACAUCAGCAACUGAAAAGUAAAAACCUGAAAUUGUUCUUAUAAAAAUAGAAGCAUAGCACACGUUGCCUCAAGUACUCAGUGUUUUGCUACUAGGAGCACUUCAGCAACUUGUCUUGCAAAGCUAAGAAAUGAACGUUGUUGAAACUGUGCCAUUCUGUGUACGUGACUUCAAAAACUACAUAAGUACGAGCAACAAAAGUGACAAUUUUGAGAAGAACCAAUAUUUAUGAGAAGAAGCCACAGUCCUCCAGGAGGAAAUGACUGCCAUGAGAAUGACUUCAGAGAAAUACACACUUGGGGCUGAAGUGGCAGCAGAGAUUUUUAUACAGCAAAGAUAACGCAGAUCCAUAUAUACACAAAUAUUUUUAGUGGCAGAAAUCUUUUGACUGGCAUUAAAAUAUACUUACUUGGCUUUCCAUUUUAUAUCACCAGUAUACAGAUCAGCUAAUACUAAGCCUGCAUUUUUGAACACAGAAUAGAGCUCACAUUUAACUGUAAGGCAUCACCGCACUCUGCUACAAAUGCCUAUUUGUUGAGCAUGAUUUAUGGAAUGUAGUGCAAGCCAUAGGAAGAACAAAUUAAACACUGCAAAUAUUCAUUCUCACUUCAAUUCUAAGGAUUUGCAGCUGUUAUGCGACACAGUACCAAAAAGAAUGCUAUAAGCAGAAUGGGGGAAGCUAUCGCAUUGACUGUAUGAGCUAGAACAUAGAUCUUGAGCAGCAGAAGGCAUAGUUAGCUGCUAGCCAAGGUGAAACUGAUUUCAGUCUUUGCUCUUUGGAGCAACAAGAGCUGCUGCAGAGGCUGUCGUUUGCCUGGAUUCUUAUUAAGAGCAAGAGGGCCAGGCCCCAAUAUGCGAAGGAGUGGGCACAAGUAACCUCUGAUCAGUUACAGACGGGCAAUGACAGAUUCUAGAGAAAAAUUUUGUCUUCCUGAAAACAUUUUAAUGACUCUUACUUAUAUAGCAAGCUGGAGCAGAUUCUCAAGCUGUUUUCAAACUUGUCUGCAGCUGAGACGUAGUCUCAUCUAAAACAGUGCUGCAUUAAUUCUGCAUCAGCUUUUCUGAAGAGGUUUAGCUAACAUUAUGAAGUUUUUUUUGGGGGGGAGACAAAGUAGAAUUGGUCACAUCUGCACUUUGACCAGAACACUCAGAUUACCAGCCUGACUUUGUGAGUAGAGACAGGAAAUACAUUCUCACUAAAUCCUGGUAUCUCCAUGCACGAAAAGAGGCCUUUGCUACACUGUUAAGAGUUGGUCCUUAUUCUGAGCAAACCUGACAGCUCUCCUCCAUGCCUGACCCCUGGCAGCUUCCAUCUGCAACUGUUCUCCAGGAGUUCUCCAUCACUUUAAAGGAAGCAAACAAGUAUCUAUCCCAUUCCACGACCAGGAAAACAGAGGCACUGCAAGUGCUUCUUCCUAUGGAAACUUCUAGUCGAAAAGGAAAGAUGCGCGUGAUCUGCAAAAAGAAACUAAACAGUGCAGCACCUGAGGCUGCAGGAAGUGCUGAUGUCAAAGCCCCGAACCGAAGUCAGGCCCUUUGCCCAAUCUGCAAAGCACACAUCCCCUCGCCCCGGGGAUCCAUGGCCCAGAGCGCAGUGCCACACAGGCCGGCAGAGCCACCCCUGCCCCAGCGCCCACACUGCAGCCAGCUGUGUGGGGAACCUGAUGGUGGCUGCUGGGCACCGUACUGUGCGUGCAAAGAGGAGGAGGUGGGGAAGCGAGGAGAAGCCCAGCGAGCGCUCUGUGAAGGCAGUGAAACGCUGCGCUCCCUGGGUUCACACGGGAUUCGCUGGAAGCUCCAUCCAAGUGGCGACCGGUGCGAAACUACUUAAUUUACAACAUUAAGAGAGGGGGGAAAAAAAAAAGAAAAAAAAAAGGCAGAGGUAACAUGGCUGCAUUCAGAGGCACGAGUAACGCUCUUCCUCGCAGCCGGAGCGACACGAAGAUCCUUACGUCUUUCUCCAACAGCGGACAGGGACCGCAGCAUAACCUUCCCAAAGCGUUACCCCGACCGCCUUCGUCACGCCGGCCGCGAUCGGCGAGAGGUCCCGGGGCCGCCUUACGUAACUCCGUGCCCCGAGCCGCCCUCAGCACACGGGCAGGCGGCUCCUCACGCCCUCCGCGUGCGGAUCGGGGCGGCCCGGCCUGCGCGGAGCCGAGCUGCCGCGGAAACUUUGCGCCGCGGGGACCGCGCGCUCCGAGCCCCGCAGCCGGCGGGGAAGUUGCACCGAGCUCGG